rnacentral:rRNA from 1 species
GACGAACGCUGGCGGCGUGCCUAACACAUGCAAGUCGAGCGGAGUCAGUAAGAGGAAGUUUUCGGAUGGAAUCUUGUUGAUUUAGCGGCGGACGGGUGAGUAACGCGUGAGCGACCAACCUUGCACAGGGGGAUAACGGACCGAAAGGUUCACUAAUACCGCAUGAGACCACGGUGUUGCAUGACACAGGGGUCAAAGGAGCAAUCCGGUGCAAGACGGGCUCGCGUCCGAUUAGGUAGUUGGAGGGGUAACGGCCCACCAAGCCUAUGAUCGGUAGCCGACCUGAGAGGGUGAUCGGCCACAUUGGAACUGAGAUACGGUCCAAACUCCUACGGGAGGCAGCAGUGGGGAAUAUUGGGCAAUGGGGGAAACCCUGACCCAGCAACGCCGCGUGAAGGAAGAAGGUUUUCGGAUUGUAAACUUCUGUCCUUGGUGAAGAGAAGAAGACGGUAGCCAAGGAGGAAGCCCCGGCUAACUACGUGCCAGCAGCCGCGGUAACAC